CCGCGAACGGCUCAUUAGAACAGCUAUAAUUUACUUGAUCUUGACCAGUUACUCGGAUAACUGUGGUAAUUCUAGAGCUAAUACGUGCACCAAAGCUGUUUCCUCAUGGAAGCAGUGCAUUUAUUUGAGCAAAACCAAACGGCUUCGGCCGUCCAUGGUGAGCCAGAAUAACUAGCUGAUCGCAUGGGCUUGUCCNGGCGACGUUUCUUUCAAGUGUCUGCCUUAUCAACUUUCGAUGGUAGUGUAUCGGACUACCAUGGUGUUGACGGGUAACGGAGGAUAAGGGUUCGACUCCGGAGAAGGGGCCUGAGAAAUGGCCACUACGUCUAAGGAUGGCAGCAGGCGCGCAAAUUACCCACUCUCAGUUCGAGGAGGUAGUGACGAAAAAUAACAAGGCCGUUCUCUACGAGGCCGGCCAUUGGAAUGGGUACAAUUUAAACCCUUUAACGAGUAUCAAUGAGAGGGCAAGUCUGGUGCCAGCAGCCGCGGUAAUUCCAGCUCUCAAAGUGCAUAGAACCAUUGCUGCGGUUAAAAAGCUCGUAGUUGGAUCUGUGCCUGUGACGUGGUCCACUCGCAAGAGUGGUACUGCGCUCACGGGCUUUGGACCGGUCUUCGCGGUCGGUAGUCUUAACUGACUGCCGCCCGUGGCUGGUUGGUUUACUUUGAGCAAAUCAGAGUGCUCAGCACAGGCGUCUUGCCGGAAUGUUCGUGCAUGGAAUAAUAGAAUAGGAUUUCGGUCCUCUUUUGUUGGUUUUGUGGACUGAGAUAAUGGUUAACAGAGACGACCGGGGGCAUUCGUAUUGCUGCGUGAGAGGUGAAAUUCUUGGACCGCAGCAGGACGAACUACAGCGAAAGCAUUUGCCAAGUGCGUCUUCAUUAAUCAAGAACGAAAGUCAGAGGUUCGAAGGCGAUCAGAUACCGCCCUAGUUCUGACCGUAAACGAUGCCAACUAGCGAUCCGCCGGUGGCCCUUAGGCCCUGGUGGGGAGCUUCCCGGAAACGAAAGUCUUCCGGUUCCGGGGGAAGUAUGGUUGCAAAGCUGAAACUUAAAGGAAUUGACGGAAGGGCACCACCAGGAGUGGAGCCUGCGGCUUAAUUUGACUCAACACGGGAAAACUCACCCGGCCCGGACACCGUAAGGAUUGACAGAUUGAUAGCUCUUUCAUGAUUCGGUGGUUGGUGGUGCAUGGCCGUUUCUUAGUUA
rnacentral:rRNA from 1 species